AUGGCCUACGGGAGGUAGCAGUGAGGAAUAUUGGUCAAUGGGCGAGAGCCUGAACCAGCCAAGUCGCGUGAAGGAUGAAGGAUCUAUGGUUUGUAAACUUCUUUUAUAUGGGAAUAAAGUGAGGAACGUGUUCCUUUUUGUAUGUACCAUAUGCAUAAGCAUCGGCUAACUCCGUGCCAGCAGCCGCGGUAAUACGGAGGACGCGAGCGUUAUCCGGCUUUAUUGGGUUUAAAGGGUGCGUAGGUGGUUAAUUAAGUCAGCGGUGAAAGUUUGUGGCUCAACCAUA
rnacentral:rRNA from 1 species